UUCAGGUCCUUUAAAAAAUUUAUUUGCAAGAAGUACGUAUAUAUUCUGAAUAAAAUUCAUUUUCAGAUAUAUGUAUUACAAAUAUCUUGUCUGUUCUAUUGUCUUUCCCUUUUCUCAAUGGGGUCUUGUCGGUGUCUUAUAGUUACUGACACCCAAUUUAUCAGCCUUUUCCUUUAGGACUGGCACUUUUUGUGUUCUGCUAAAACGUUAUUUUCCUCUCUUAUGGUCAUAAUAUUCUGCGAUUUUAUUGUCUAGAGUUGUAUUGUUCACAUUCAGGUCUACCAUCCGUCUAGAAUUAUUUUACUUGAGAUAGGAGUCAAGGUUCAUUUCCCCCCAAUCAACCUUCAAUUGACCUAGCACUAUAUAUUGAAAAAACUCUUCUUAUUGCAUUACAGUGGCUACUUGUAGGAGGAAAAAGUGACUACAUAGCUGCAGGUCUGUUUCUGGCCUCUCUCUUUUUCAUUCAUCGUUUUUACCUUUGUGCCAGUUAUCACACUGUUCUGAUUACUUUGGCACUAUAAUCAUCUUGAUAACUGUAUCGUGAAUUCUCCAACUAUGUUCUUCGCCGGAAGUCCACGGAACACCAACCCCGACCUUCGGAAUUUCCCUCCGGAAGAUGAAGGCACUGUAGUUAUGCGGGUGGACCCUAUCAGAUCUCGGGUCCAUCGGGUCCUGUGUACACCUUGAGGGACGCCCACCCGACGCGCAUGCGCACCCUCAAUGCUGUGAUUGGACGGAGCCCCGCCGGCUGCUUAUACGUCACUUCCGAGGCGGGAGGAUGAAGUUGAUUGACUAUGGUCUCUCCGGCAACCAGGAAGAGUCUGCCGAAGGUGAAGGCCAUGGACUUCAUCACCUCCACAGCCAUCCUGCCCCUGCUGUUCGGCUGCCUGGGCGUCUUCGGCCUCUUCCGGCUGCUGCAGUGGGUGCGCGGGAAGGCCUACCUGCGGAAUGCUGUGGUGGUGAUCACAGGCGCCACCUCAGGGCUGGGCAAAGAAUGUGCAAAAGUCUUCUAUGCUGCGGGUGCUAAACUGGUGCUCUGUGGCCGGAAUGGUGGGGCCCUAGAAGAGCUCAUCAGAGAACUCACCGCUUCUCAGGCCACCAAGGUGCAGACACACAAGCCUUACUUGGUGACCUUCGACCUCACAGACUCUGGGGCCAUAGUUGCAGCAGCAGCUGAGAUCCUGCAGUGCUUUGGCUAUGUCGACAUACUUGUCAACAAUGCUGGGAUCAGCUACCGUGGUACCAUCAUGGACACCACAGUGGAUGUGGACAAGAGGGUCAUGGAGACAAACUACUUUGGCCCAGUUGCUCUAACGAAAGCACUCCUGCCCUCCAUGAUCAAGAGGAGGCAAGGCCACAUUGUCACCAUCAGCAGCAUCCAGGGCAAGAUCAGCAUUCCUUUUCGAUCAGCAUAUGCAGCCUCCAAGCACGCAACCCAGGCUUUCUUUGACUGUCUGCGUGCCGAGAUGGAACAGUAUGAAAUUGAGGUGACCGUCAUCAGCCCCGGCUACAUCCACACCAACCUCUCUGUAAAUGCCAUCACCGCGGAUGGAUCUAGGUAUGGAGUUAUGGACACCACCACAGCCCAGGGCCGAAGCCCUGUGGAGGUGGCCCAGGAUGUUCUUGCUGCUGUGGGGAAGAAGAAGAAAGAUGUGAUCCUGGCUGACUUACUGCCUUCCUUGGCUGUUUAUCUUCGAACUCUGGCUCCUGGGCUCUUCUUCAGCCUCAUGGCCUCCAGGGCCAGAAAAGAGCGGAAAUCCAAGAACUCCUAGUACUCUGACCAGCCAGAGCCAGGGCAGAGAAGCAGCACUCUUAGGCUUGGUUACUCUACAAGGGACAGUUGCAUUUGUUGAGAUUUUAAUGGAGAUUUGUCUCACAAGUGGGAAAGACUGAAGAAACACAUUUCAUGCAGAUCUGCUGGCAGAGGACAAUCAAAAACGACAACAAGCUUCUUCCCAGGGUAAAUUGUCAACCUCCCUCCUGACAUGGAAGAGAAGGGUCUCCUUAGUGUUCACACUGGAGACAGUAGACCCAGGCAAGAGCUGGAACUGAGACAGCAGCAGCACCUGUCUAAAGCUCAGCCCGAGUCUAAGGUUGAAUGAAAGUGCCGAGCACACAGCAGGUUUCCAGGAAAUGGCAGCAACGAAGGGCGCUCUCCCUUUAGAUGGAAACGAGAGGACAUUUCUCCUUGGAUGCUGUUGGCUGCCACACUCAGAGACACCUGGUGUCCAGGUGCUGUCCUUUCCUCUCCAUUAUAUAACAUGGUUAGCAACUGGAGGUUGAUGUGUGUCAAAGGAAUGCAGGUUUACCAACUGUGUACUCUGUCAUCAGAAGAUGGGAACAUCACAUAUGUUGCUGAGGUUUUUGGUUUUGGGGCCAUUGUGUUCUGACUCACAGCUGGGGUGCAUGGAGCUUGGGCUAGCAUUAAAGAUUUCUUAACCUACA